CACUUCUGAUUUUCAACGAAACGUGGCAAUAAUAUAAUACCAAAGACGCAAUAUGCCUGCCCCCUGUGAACCAUGCAAAGAUACCUGCAAGGAAGGCACCAGCUGCAAUGAGGAUUGCUCUUGUGAUACCAACUGCAAUGAUUGUUCUACCUCUGGUAGUUGCUGCUAAUUCCACCCCUGCAGCUGAUUCAGAAUAAUUUCAUUAACAAAGCAUUAUGGAUUUUUGUUGAAAAUAAAGUGUACA